rnacentral:lncRNA from 1 species
CGGCAAUCGGGUGACCGACAUAGCUAGGCAGAUGUGUGCAAAGGCAUCUGCGUGCUCCCGUGAGUUUUCGUUUGUUUCAUUGCCUUAUUUGUGGCAUGCCAUAAUUUUUAAGCAUCCCACCUCAUAUGUUAUAUUUUCUGAGACACAUGCGAUCAUAUAUACACGCGUACACUCAUCUCUAUAAAAGCACAUACGAACAUCCUAUCCCUAUUAGCAUCCCCGAGACUGAGCUGGCAUAUCAUCUUGAGAUUGACAAAGUCACCGCAGACACCUCGUAGUUGACGGUAAUGUCUCCGUUCACUGAACCCCAUCGCUGGAAAUCCUAAAAUAAAUCCAGAAGAACGCGAGCACCGGAACUUAAACCCUGAUGGGCUGGGGAUAUCAUUGUCCUCCCAACCAUCCAAUCACAUGUCACAGGUUGGUUCUCUCCCACCCCACAUGCCAGAAGGAAGGUUUCUUACCAUAUGGCAACAAUUUACUCGCAACGAAAAUUGUGGCUUGCCACAUAUUUGGCCGAAAAAAGUGUCACAUCGGUAGACUCGGACCAAACAUGCCCUAGUGUUCAGAAGGAAACGCAGAGAACAAGGCGAAGAGCAAUGUGGUUCUCUGGUACUCCCUACGUUCUUGUUUAUAAAAGGUUACACCGUAGCUGGAUUAGUCUACGGACGAAUUAAAAGCUUGCAGCGGUAGAAAAUUUCCCUACGUUCUUGUUUAUCUCCUUUUUUUUAGUAACGUUUUUCUCCUUUUUCUUAGUCCACGGACUGGACGCACUCCACGCAACAAUUGGGAAACCGAGAAACAUUUGGGCCACACGGCCUAGUAAGUAGCACUUUCUUUUAAAGCCCAAGUUGGUAGGUAGUAUAACUUAACCCCGUCUAUUUUUAGCCACUUCUUCCAUUUUCGCCUUAGCCAACUCUAUCGUUUUCGCCGCAGCCGCCUGUACCAUCAUCGGCACCGCACGCGCAAAAUCGACAACCUGAGUGAUGGCACCGGGGUCACUGUAUUUGAUGCUGCGUGAUAGGAAUAGGAUAGAAGAAAGUUAGACAAGGCUCAAGAAAAGGAAGCUGCAGAGCAUAUUGUCGAGAAAAAUAGAGAAGCCAGAGCAUGAGCAUACCGUGGUAUCCUGACGCCAUCCCUCCCUACCCUAUCGUAGCGACUUGAUAGGAUAGAUGGAUAAUCCAAUUAGAGAAAACUAAUACCAAGUAAAGGAAGAUGCAGAUCGAUCCUCAAAUGAAGGAGGGAAGAGGAUCGCAUCACAGAGAGUUGUGAGAUCAUGAACAUACCUGUCGUCGGGUAGAUGAUCCGCUUCCCCGCCGGGCGUUUCCAUGCCCACUGCACGUUUCAACCGUUCCCAACCCGAGGCGACCAACCCAUCACCUUCCUUCUCCGGGAGCUUAUCGGCAUGAAACCCCUUCCCCCCCAUCGUACCGUACGCUUGCUAACGUCGAGAGCUAAUAUAACUGACCGUGGGUGCGAGUGCGAUGAUGGUGUUUGCGCAAGUGAGUGUGUGACAAGAUGGC